ACCAGGAAGGGUGUGGGCAGUCUCUCCCUGGUGGUCAAGAGAGGAGGACUGGCUCCUCUGUGGGAAGGUAGCACCUUGGACAGGGCCGUGCUGGGGAGCUCUGGCUAAGGAAAACCCCAGGCUGCCGGCCUAGGCCAGGCAGGUGCAUAGGGCUGAAGGGGAAGUGGUCCAGGGACAAUAGCAGGGCAAGGGGAGAGAAUGAGGGCAGAGAGGCUGCCACUAUAGGGUCCCUGGGUUGGGACCCAGAGUAGUGGGUGGGCCUGGGUCCCCCCCCUUCCCCUUCAGCUACACCGGGCUGAAGAGGAGCAUGGCCUGAUCCAGGCUGUGGCUGGGCCCUGUGAUAAGGGGCUAGACUUAGAGGCUGCAGCUGGCCACUACAACAGGUGCAGAUUGUGGACUGCGAUAACACCAAACCCCCAGAAGGGGGUGAGACCGGAGCAGUGGGCACUGCUGGAGGGUAGUGUCCUGAAGAGGACACUGCUGAGUGGGGAGCAAUGAGGGUCCCCAAAGCAGCAGAGCAGAUGAGGGGCAAGGCACCACACAAAACAGAUGCUUUGACUGGACAGAGCUAAUUCCUGGAGCAACCAGCAGGAGGUGCCAGCGGUGAAACAAAACAAGAGUGGAUGAGGAAGAAAGAGGAAAAAUCCCCAUGCUCCCAAGAUGGAGGACACAAAGUCCAACAAAUGGAGGGGGCAGACUGAAGCCUACCAAGGGAAUUCUGACACUCAACUCCUUUGCUUCCUUGUGUCUUGGUAGGCAGAGCUAUACUCUGUUGCAGUAUAGUAAAUGAACCAACUAUUCCUGUCUGCCUCUCCCAUAGGAUGGGGCAGAGAGAGCCAUAUGGAAUAAAAGUCCAUUUUAUUAUAAGAGAAAAGAAAUAGGGUAUUUCCAAUUAUUAAAAUGUAGCAGAGAAAACACAUAUUAGCUUUCUUCCAAACCCUUUGUUAGACAUCCUAACAGUCAGCAUUCGGGGAAAGCACUUUUUCAGACUGUAAUUAAAAUCCUCAUCUAGACUGAGGUAAAUAAUAUACCUAGCUCAAUCUGAGCCCAGUUCUUAUAAAUAACCCUGUACUCGUAAUGUACAGACAGGCUUGUGCCCACUUUUGUUGAGACCCCUUCAUUCCCAAAAUGUGUUGUGAAUGAAUUAAUAUAAUUUUCCUUCAAUUGAAGGAUUCCAAUGAGUCCCAGGAUCUGUCAAUUUCCUCUCCUGCUUCUACAGCCUUCUUUUCUAAUGGAAGACUCUGGAUGUUUCUCCCACCACCAAAAUCCAUUAGUACUGUUUUCAUUCCCUUACUAAACAGUUAUUUAAAAAGUGACAAAAUAUACUUAGUCCCCACCAGCAGCAAACAUGCUGCCUAUAGGUUACCACUACAUCUUGGUCCCUGCUCAGAUAUCUCACUUUUUGAAGAUAAUAAACAGUUAUAUUUUCCCCCAAAUUCUGUACCACAAAGUGUCUGUAAAAUGUAUUUUAAGUUAUCCAAGCAAAAGAGUGCACUCAAAAGUCUUUCUUUUUUACUCAAACUUAAAAAAAAAAAAAGGCCAAAUGUUAAUUCAAAUGUUACAAAAAUAUUUGCUCCCAGACUCAGAUCCUUCAUGCCACAUUUCAGCACAAUGAAUUUAACCGUGCAAGCUAUACAUUUCUGAAAUGAGGUAAUAAAAACCCCAACAAGGCUUAGCUAUAGCGAUCUGAGUGAUGACACUUAUAUAUUUUUCAUAUUAUACACAUUG